rnacentral:rRNA from 1 species
UACGUAGGGGGCAAGCGUUGUCCGGAAUCAUUGGGCGUAAAGCGCGUGUAGGCGGCUUAGUAAGUCCGCUCUGAAAGCCCGGGGCUCAACCCCGGGAGGCGGGUGGAUACUGCUGAGCUCGAGUCCGGAAGAGGCGAGUGGAAUUCCCGGUGUAGCGGUGAAAUGCGCAGAUAUCGGGAGGAACACCAAUGGCGAAGGCAGCUCGCUGGGCGUGACUGACGCUGAGACGGCGAAAGCGUGGGGAGCGAACAGG